CUGGCGGCGUGCCUAACACAUGCAAGUCGAGCGAGGAGAGUCCUUCGGGAUGAUCCUAGCGGCGGACGGGUGAGUAACACGUGGGCAACCUGCCUCAUAGAGAGGAAUAGCCUUCCGAAAGGGAGAUUAAUACCUCAUAACAUUGCAGUUUCGCAUGGAACAGCAAUUAAAGGAGCAAUCCGCUAUGAGAUGGGCCCGCGGCGCAUUAGCUAGUUGGUGAGGUAACGGCUCACCAAGGCGACGAUGCGUAGCCGACCUGAGAGGGUGACCGGCCACAUUGGGACUGAGACACGGCCCAGACUCCUACGGGAGGCAGCAGUGGGGAAUAUUGCACAAUGGGGGAAACCCUGAUGCAGCCAACGCCGCGUGAGUGAUGACGGCCUUCGGGUUGUAAAGCUCUGUCUUCAGGGACGAUAAUGACGGUACCUGAGGAGGAAGCCACGGCUAACUACGUGCCAGCAGCAGC
rnacentral:rRNA from 1 species